rnacentral:rRNA from 1 species
UCUGGUUGAUCCUGCCUGAACUGAUGUGUUUAUUUCAAAGAUUAAGCCAUGCAUGUAUAAGUUUAAUCGUUUAUCGAGAAACCGCGAACGGCUCAUUAGAAUGGCCAUUAUUUACUUGAUCUUGAUUGUCUAAAUGGAUAACUGUGGAAAAGCUAGAGCUAAUACAUGCACUAAAGCUUUGUCCUUACGGAAAAGCGCAUUUAUUAGAACAAAACCACGCGGCUUCGGCUGCUUCUUGUUGACUCAGAAUAACUUAGCUGACCGCAUGGCCUUGUGCCGGCGGCGUGUCUUUCAAGCGUCCACUUUAUCAACUUGACGGGAGCAUAAUCGACUCCGUGGUGGUGACGGAUAACGGAGGAUCAGGGUUCGACUCCGGAGAAGGGGCCUGAGAAAUGGCCACUACGUCUAAGGAUGGCAGCAGGCGCGCAAAUUACCCACUCUCGGCUCCAGGAGGUAGUGACGAGAAAUAACGAGACUGUUCUCUUUGAGGCCGGUCAUCGGAAUGGGUACAAUUUAAACCCUUUAACGAGUAUCAAGCAGAGGGCAAGUCUGGUGCCAGCAGCCGCGGUAAUUCCAGCUCUGCAAAUACAUAGAAUUAUUGCUGCGGUUAGAAAGCUCAUAGUUGGAUUCGUAUCGAUACCUUGGAACCCUUCGGGUGUCUCUAGGUGUUAUCGAUUUAUCGUAAUGUUCGGUUUUGAGUCCUUAACAGGAUUCUUAACAGGCAUUGCAAGUUUACUUUGAACAAAUCAGAGUGCUUCAAACAGGCGUUUUCGCUUGAAUGAUCGUGCAUGGAAUAAUAGAAAAUGAUUUCGGUUCAGUUUUAUUGGUUUUACGGACUGAGAUAAUGGUUAACAGAGACAAACGGCAGGCUCCACACCACCAGGAGUGGAGCCUGCGGCUUAAUUUGACUCAACACGGGGAAACUCACCCGGCCCGGACACUGUGAGGAUUGACAGAUUGAUAGCUUUUUCAUGAUUCAGUGGAUGGUGGUGCAUGGCCGUUCUUAGUUCGUGGAGUGAUUUGUCUGGUUUAUUCCGAUAACGAGCGAGACUCUAACCUACUAAAUAGUUGGUACAUACUCUUAGUGUAUACAGCUUCUUAGAGGGAUUUGCGGCGUUCAGCCGAAAGAAAUUGAGCAAUAACAGGUCUGUGAUGCCCUUAGAUGUCCGGGGCUGCACGCGCGCUACACUGGCAAAAUCAACGUGCUUGUCCUACCCUGAAAGGGGCGGGUAAACCAUUGAAAAUUUGCCGUGAUUGGGAUCGGAAAUUGCAAUUAUUUUCCGUGAACGAGGAAUUCCAAGUAAGUGCGAGUCAUCAGCUCGCGUUGAUUACGUCCCUGCCCUUUGUACACACCGCCCGUCGCUGCCCGGGACUGAGCCAUUUCGAGAAAUUUGGGGACCGUUGAUUUAAUUUUUCUAAAUUACUUUGAUGGAAACCAAUUUAAUCGCAGUGGCUUGAACCGGGCAAAAGUCGUAACAAGGUAGCUGUAGGUGAACCUGCUGCUG